UACGAAGGGGGCUAGCGUUGCUCGGAAUUACUGGGCGUAAAGGGCGCGUAGGCGGAUAGUUUAGUCAGAGGUGAAAGCCCAGGGCUCAACCCUAGAAUUGCCUUUGAUACUGACUGUCUUGAGUACGGGAGAGGUGUGUGGAACUCCGAGUGUAGAGGUGAAAUUCGUAGAUAUUCGGAAGAACACCAGUGGCGAAGGCGACACACUGGCCCGUUACUGACGCUGAGGCGCGAAAGCGUGGGGAGCAAACAGG
rnacentral:rRNA from 1 species